rnacentral:rRNA from 1 species
CAGGGUUCGAUUCCGGAGAAGGAGCUUGAGAAUUGGCUACUACAUCUAAGGAAGGCAGCAGGCGCGCAAAUUACCCAAUCCCGAUUCGGGGAGGUAGUGACAAAAAAUAACAAUACCGGGCCUUUUUGGGCUUGGUAAUUGGAAUGAGGGAGAGUUAAACGGACCAUCGAGUAUCCAUUGGAGGGCAAGUCUGGUGCCAGCAGCUGCAGUAAUACCAGCUCCAAUAGCGUAUAUUAAAGUUGUUGCAGUUAAAAAGCUCGUAGUUGGACUUGUGUGCGCUGUCCGCGGGUGGCCUGCGCCCAAAAGGGCGUUUCGGUUCGGCCCCGGUGGCGCCUUGAAAUCUGCAGCUGGGGGGACGUUGGCCUUAACUGGUCGGCGACCGCACGCCGGCUGCUCGGUUACUGUGAGAAAAUUAGAGUGUUCGAGGCAGGCAUUGGGUGCAAUUGAAUACAUUAGCAUGGAAUAAUAAAAUAUGGCUCCUGCCGUAUUUUGUUGGUUUUGACUGGUGGGAGUAAUGAUUGAUAGGGACGGGGGGUGCUAGUAUUGAGCGGCCAGAGGUGAAAUUCAUGGAUUCGCUCAGGACUAACUUAUGCGAAAGCAUUCACCAAGGACGUCCUCUUUAAUCAAGAACGAAAGUUGGGGGAUCGAAGACGAUCAGAUACCGUCGUAGUCUCAACCAUAAACUAUGUCGACUUGGGAUCGGCGGUAGUUUUUUCAUUAAGACACUGUCGGGACCACGGGAGAAAUCAAAGUGUCUGGACUCUGGGGGAAGUAUGGUCGCAAGGCUGAAACUUGAAGGAAUUGACGGAAGGGCACCACCAGGAGUGGAGCCCGCGGCUUAAUUUGACCCAACACGGGGAAACUUACCAGGUCCAGAGAUGUAGAGGGUUGACAGAUUGAAGCUCUUUCUUGAUCACUUCGGUGGUGGUGCAUGGCCGUUCUUAGUUGGUGGAGUGAUUUGUCUGGUUAAUUCCGUUAACGAACGAGACCUCAGCCUGCUAGUGUAGUCGGCUGGAUUGCCUUUGGCGAUCCGUGAUUUCGACUUCUUAGAGGGACAAUCGACGCGCAGUCGAUGGAAGUUUGAGGCAAUAACAGGUCUGUGAUGCCCUUAGAUGUUCUGGGCCGCACGCGCGCUACACUGCUGGGCUCAGCGAGUUUUACUUGGCCGAGAGGCCCGGUUAAUCUUGUGAAAUCCCAGCGUGCUUGGGCUCGCCUCCUGCAACUGGAGGCGCCAACGAGGAAUUCCUAGUAGACGCAGGUCAUCAACCUGCAUCGAUUACGUCCCUGCCCCUUGUACACACCGCCCAUCGUUCCAUAAGAGUGAGGCAUCCGGUGAAUUCUCGGGAGAGCCUGGGCGUGGCCAGCAAUGGUCUGCUCGGGUUUGAACUUGCAUAAACUUGGUGCCUAUGAGUAGGGAAAAGUCGUAACAAGGUU